rnacentral:rRNA from 1 species
GACGAACGCUGGCGGCGUGCCUAAUACAUGCAAGUUGAGCGCUGAAGGUUGGUACUUGUACCAACUGGAUGAGCAGCGAACGGGUGAGUAACGCGUGGGGAAUCUGCCUUUGAGCGGGGGACAACAUUUGGAAACGAAUGCUAAUACCGCAUAAAAACUUUAAACACAAGUUUUAAGUUUGAAAGAUGCAAUUGCAUCACUCAAAGAUGAUCCCGCGUUGUAUUAGCUAGUUGGUGAGGUAAAGGCUCACCAAGGCGAUGAUACAUAGCCGACCUGAGAGGGGGGUAGGCCACAUUGGGACUGAGACAAGGCCCAAACUACUACGGGAGGGAGCAGUAGGGAAACUUCGGCAAAGGACGAAAGGCUGAACGAGGAACGCCGCGUGAGUGAAGAAGGUUUUCGGAUCGUAAAACUCGGUUGGUAGAGAAGAACGUUGGUGAGAGUGGAAAGCUCAUCAAGUGACGGUAACUACACAGAAAGAGACGGCUAACUACGUG